ensembl:lncRNA
UUUAAGUAUAUUUCUGUUCACCAAAGGCUGUUCCUCUGAGACAUAAGUGCUAUUGAGAUGCAGUGAUGGGGAGACAAGAAUAUAUGCUGCUGCGCACCCCCUCCCCCUUUCUGUUCUCCCUGUUCAAUCUUUGACGUAGUAUAAAAGAGCACGUAUCAGGGCACUCUGACUUGCCCAUUUCCCUCCUAAGCCCCUCCUCUUUCUACAAGCUUAUAUAUCCUCCUUCUCUUCGUUCAGCAUAGUGUACAAUGUGCUGCCAGAGCGCCAGCAGGCACAGUGCAGAAAAAGAGCCAGAGAGGAAAGCAGAGCAGGGGAAAGUUCUUCUCUUGUGUGUCUCCAGGUCAGAGCUGACCACAAGCCCAGCCCAGCAGUUGCUGAUCGGUAUUGGGAUCUACCAGCCCACAGGCUCAGCAUGGGCUGUGCCACUGGCCACUUGGCUCUUCAAACCCAGCCGCCAACCACCUUAGGGCAUGAGGCUCACUCCCUGGAGGCCGGUGCUGCCAAAGUCCCAGAUGCACUUUCAUCACUGGAGCGUCUUUCCCAAGCCACUGGAGGCAUGGAGAAAUCUUGGUACCGCUGUAUCUUUCCUUUUGGAAUUAUCUCCUUGGUGAUUGGUGUAGCGGGAACUGGAGUAACUUACACUUAUAAUGAUCUGCCUCAGACUAAGGUGGUAUCUGUAGUGCUAUUAGUGUUGGGCAUUUUGCUCCUGCUGAUGGCCACUGCGUGUUGGACUGCUCAUAAGAAGAAAAGAAGGAAAAAGAAGGAAGCAGUCUCAUUAAAUUCUGAACCAUGCCAACUGUGAAGCGAAGCAAGUUGUCUAAACACCUGCCAAAUCUGACUUUAUUUUGUAACUGCAAAGUUUGACUGGGUUAAAACUAGCGGAAGAUAAAGUGAGUACGUUUUCAGAAUGCAUACAAAUAUGUCUAUAGAGAGAAAGACAGCAUGUCGCGUGGAUCUGUUUGUGGAGGCAUCACAAACACUACUUUAUCAGACAGGUAUCCAGUGUCAAAACAAGCUCAGAGGAGACCCUUCACAAAUAUGUAUUGCAUACUGCACACAUAUUUACAUGCACAGAAACGCGACUCUCACACCCCUCACCAGAGGUCGGAGUGUGUCUAAGAUGAUAUGCAGAACUGCUGCUGGAGCAAGUGCUCACGUCACAAGGGACGUCAGUCACAGCAUUCCUACUGCUGGGACAGGUGACCCUCCAAGAGGCCAGAAGUGGGCCAAAGACCGCAACUCGACACCCAUCCAAAUAAGCUGUGCAACCGCGUCAACGGCCAGCGUCAUUCACUCAUCCUGUGACACCGCAGCAAUGUGCAGGGGGGGCUUUUUACGCAAUGGGACAGUGGAACUUGAGUCGUUGAAGAUCUUGCUGGAAUCUGCAUGGAGGAAAACUUUGAGACCAACUUGUUAUGUGAGUCUAAAAACAGAUGAGGAACUUAAAGAUUGUCAAAGAUUUGCACAUUUGGUUUUGUCAAAAGAACAUUUUAUAGUUACUGCUCAAAGGACAAAACUGCUGGCGUACUGACAGUUUGCCCUUCUGGGAGUGUUCAAGCAUGUCUACGUGGAGCCCUCACAUCAGGAUAGGCAGACUGGGAUUACAAAAGGGCAUUGCCUAGGGUCCUACUAGUACAGAGAAACUGUAACAGAAGCCCUUGUCUAAAGCACUUCUUUUUAAAUGCCUCGCACUUAAGGAACAAGCCUGUCACAUUCCCAUUUUCAGAUUAUUUUCUGAGCCAUAUGUAGAUUUUUCUAUAGUAUUCAAAAACCUUUCAUACUUAGAAAAUGGCGAUUA